rnacentral:rRNA from 1 species
CAAAAACAUGUCUUUUUGAUUAUAAUUUAAAGUCUAACCUGCCCAAUGAGGAGUUAAAUGGCCGCGGUAUUUUGACCGUGCAAAGGUAGCAUAAUCAUUAGUUUUUUAAUUGAAAGCUGGUAUGAAUGGUUGGACGAGAAAAUAACUGUCUCGAUUUAAGUUAAAUUAGAAUUUUAUUUAUGAGUAAAAAAGCUCAUAUAAGUUUAAAAGACGAGAAGACCCUAUAGAAUUUAAUAUAUAUACAUAUAUAUUAUUUUUAGAAUUAAUAAUGAAUUAUAUGUUAUUAUAUUUUGUUGGGGUGAUAGAAAAAUUUAAAUAACUUUUUUUAUAUAAAAACAUUAAUGUAUGAAAAAAUGAUCCGUAAAUUACGAUUAUAAGAUUAAAUUACCUUAGGGAUAACAGCGUAAUUUUUUUUUAGAGUUCUUAUCGAAAAAAGAGUUUGCGACCUCGAUGUUGGAUUAAAAUUAACUUUUGGUGUAGGGGCU